GCUGCCCCCCAAGGGCCUUGAUCUCACCCGCCUGAGCUCCUGACCCCAGCUCACAACAAUAGUCAGACGUUUCCCGGACGGCGUCACCGCCCUUCUUGACCAUCAUUCCUCUUUUCUUUGGGCGCAGGAACCACUCUAGGUCCUCGGAGUGAACCUUCUGGGACAGGUGUUGGCGGGAGUCCGGUGGCCACGACCCUGGAAGCUGGCAGCGUGGGCAGGACCGCAGGGGGCCCUGGCUUCACCAGUCCUGGGCACCUAGCAGUGACCUCAGAAGGUUCAGAGUCCUUCAGAAAAGCAUCGGGGUUUGAGGACACAAGUGGUGUCCCAACUGCUCCAAGUUCAUCCUUGGGCGUCAGACAAGUAAGUACAUCUGAAACAUCUGGUGGUGUAACCAGUGGAGAUGAAAAUAAACCUGCAUCACCCAGCAGCAGUACUACAAGCUCUUCAGAUAAACCAGGUGAGAUUAGCUAAACACAAAAAGUCACAAAUAUCAGAUAUUUAUUUAGUUGGACAUCCUUCCUGCUUAAA
rnacentral:lncRNA from 12 species